AGUGAACGCUGGCGGUAGGCCUAACACAUGCAAGUCGAACGGCAGCACAGUAAGAGCUUGCUCUUACGGGUGGCGAGUGGCGGACGGGUGAGGAAUACAUCGGAAUCUACUUUUUCGUGGGGGAUAACGUAGGGAAACUUACGCUAAUACCGCAUACGACCUACGGGUGAAAGCAGGGGAUCUUCGGACCUUGCGCGAUUGAAUGAGCCGAUGUCGGAUUAGCUAGUUGGCGGGGUAAAGGCCCACCAAGGCGACGAUCCGUAGCUGGUCUGAGAGGAUGAUCAGCCACACUGGAACUGAGACACGGUCCAGACUCCGACGGGAGGCAGCAGUGGGGAAUUUUGGAAAAUGGGCGCAAGCCUGAUCCAGCCAUACAGCGUGGGUGAAGAAGGCCUGCGGGUUGUAAAGCCCUUUUGUUGGGAAAGAAAAGCAGCAGGUUAAUACCCCGCUGUUCGGACGGUACCCAAAGAAUAAGCACCGGCUAACUUCGG
rnacentral:rRNA from 1 species